rnacentral:tRNA from 1 species
UAUACUUUAGUGUAAGACGCACAGGAAUUUUUGAUGUUCUUAGAGUAGUUUAAUUCUACAGUGUAUAA